AUUGAACGCUGGCGGCAGGCCUAACACAUGCAAGUCGAGCGGAGCGGCGGACGGGUGAGUAAUGCCUAGGAAUCUGCCCGGUCGUGGGGGAUAACGUCCGGAAACGGGCGCUAAUCCCGCAUACUUUCAGAUGAGCCUAGGUCGGAUUGGCUAGUUGGUGGGGUAAAGGCCUACCAGGGCGACGAUCCGUAACUGGUCUGAGAGGAUGAUCAGUCAAACGGGAACUGAGACACGGUCCAGACGCCUACGGGAGGCAGCAGUGGGGAAGAUGGGACAAUGGGCGAAAGCCUGAUCCAGCCAUGCCGCGGGUGUGAAGAAGGUCUUCGGGUUGUAAAGUACUUAAAGUUGGGAGGCGGUACCAACAGAAUAAGCACCGGCUAACUUCGUGCCAGCAGCCGCGGUAAUAC
rnacentral:rRNA from 1 species